rnacentral:telomerase_RNA from 1 species
AUUCUUUCCAGUCUUGGUCCUGUCGGGAUGUCUAACCCAUCCCACUAACCCUAGUGUGUAUUAUCGGCCUUCCAUUUUAUCCUGCUGUUUCAGCUCUCAGCAGGUUGGGGGCCGACUUCUUACUUCACAAAAGAGCGAAUUUCCGGGACUGAGCUGGAGAGGCGGCCGUAUCGUACGGAGGGACGACGUCAGCCGAGGCCGCCCCCCUCCCUAGGCUCCCCGGCCGCGGGCUUAGAACCCCGCACGCCCGGUGAAAGGGUUCGCCCUGCCGCCUGUCGGGGUGGCCAGUUGGAAUGGCGUUCAGCCCUCUAAAGUAGACAAAAUUGGAAAAUUCGGUGCCGUCAGCCCUUCUCCAAAGAUAUGGAGUGUGGGUUUGCCGUCUUUCCUACAUAA